AUGGCCUUCGACUUCGACCAUGAGCGCCUCUGUGCCCUCAAGGCAUUCGAUGAAACAAAGGCGGGCGUCAAAGGCCUCGUUGAUGCUGGCAUCACCGCCAUCCCGUCCAUCUUCCACCAUCCUCCCGAGUCCUUUGCCCCAUUGGCGCCUUUCUCCACCGACGUUGCCAUCCCGGUAAUCGACCUCUCGGGCCGACGAUCGGAGGUGGUCAGCACGGUGAAGGCGGCUAUAGAGAAAUUGGGCUUCUUCUUGGUGGUGAACCAUGGUGUGCCGGAGGUAGCCAUGUCGAACAUGCUAUCUGUGGUGCGGGGCUUUCACGAGGAGCCUGCGGAGGCCAAGGAGAUCUACUACACGCGGGACGAGGAGAGACAAGUCAAGUACAGUGGCAAUGCGGACCUGUUUCGGUCACCGGCAGCCAAGUGGCGUGACACCAUGUACAUCAAUGACGCGGACCGGCUAGCAGAAGAGAUCCUGCCACCGGUGUGCAGGGGCGUCGUGCCGGAGUACACAAGGCUCAUGCGGCAGCUGGGGCGCUUCCUGUUCGGGAUAGUGUCUGAGGCUCUGGGGUUGCAGCGUGGAUACAUGGAGGACGAGACGGGUUGCCUAGAUGCAUUGCUCCUCGGCUGCCACUACUACCCGGCGUGUCCGGAGCCGCACCUCACACUGGGCGCCGUCAGGCACUCCGACGCCAGUUUCCUCACCGUGGUGCUCCAGGAUGGCGUUUAUGGCGGCCUGCAAUUGCUCGUUGAUGAUAACAAGCAACAGAAGGUGUGGGUGAAGGUGCCGGCGGUGGCGGGAGCGUUGGCUGUGAACGUGGGCGACUUCCUGCAGCUGGUGUCCAAUGACAAGUUCAAGAGCGUUGUGCAUCGUGUGGUGUCCAACAGUGUGGGACCCAGAUUGUCGGUGGUGUGCUUCUUCAGGGCGAAUAUGGCAACGUUGUGUGAGCCGGUGGUCGUCGACGGGAGCGGUCCACCACGGUACCGGACUAUCAAGGCGGAGGAGCUGUUCGGCUCGUCCAGGACAACGCUCAAGUCGGCCUCAUCAUCCCAAACUGCUCUCGAUUACUUGAGGCUCUAA
rnacentral:rRNA from 1 species